rnacentral:rRNA from 1 species
AUUGAACGCUGGCGGAAUGCUUUACACAUGCAAGUCGAACGGCAGCAUAGGUGCUUGCACCUGAUGGCGAGUGGCGAACGGGUGAGUAAUACAUCGGAACGUGCCCAGUCGUGGGGGAUAACGUAGCGAAAGUUACGCUAAUACCGCGUACGAUCUAAGGAUGAAAGCGGGGGACCGUAAGGCCUCGCGCGAUUGGAGCGGCCGAUGUCAGAUUAGGUAGUUGGUGAGGUAAAGGCUCACCAAGCCGACGAUCUGUAGCUGGUCUGAGAGGACGACCAGCGACACUGGGACUGAGACACGACCCAGACUCCUACGGGAGGCAACAGUGGGGAAUUUUGGACAAUGGACGCAAGUCUGAUCCAGCCAUUCCGCGUGGAGGACGAAGGCCUUCGGGUUGUAAACUGCUUUUGUACGGAACGAAAAAGCUCUUACUAAUACUAGGAGUCCAUGACGGUACCGUAAGAAUAAGCACCGGCUAACUACGUGCCAGCAGCCGCCGUAA